ACAAUAAUCCAGUUGAGGCCUAAACAGAGUGGAGUAGAGCGGAAGAAUUACUUCUCAUGUCUUGCUUACAACCCUCCUGCUAUUACAUCCCUGAAUGAUGUUUUGUUUUUUGGGAACAGC